ensembl:lncRNA
CUUUCGAUGUUCUGCAGUCAUGGUACCACGGAUAUUUUUUGGAAUACUACGAUGAUUCCAAGAAGUCGGGGUAAAAGCCAUAUCAACAUGCAAGGUACCCUUGGUAGUCAUCUGACAUGUUGGUCCCUUGAUGACCAGGUCUGAUGCCAUGUGGAGCAUCUCCUUUGAGCGGCCUUCUGGAAGCAGGAGUGCCAUUGUCCACGAGAGCCUUCAUGGGUCCCUGAAGCAGGGAAAUCAAGCAGAAGUCCACUGAUGGCCCGGGUGAGUGAACUACUUCUGGGCUCUUGUUCCUGAGUAAAGCACUGCAGUAUCUGCAGACAGUUGCUUCUCCAACUGGUCUGUUCAAAAGUCGGUGCGAGAAGAACGCAGUAUUGGCAUCGUUGGUCUCCUUGCUGCCAGUGCUUGGAGUCCUGGUAAACUUGCUGCAACACUAACUAUAUAGGCAACCAAUCUAGUAACUGCUAUAAAUGAUAGGAAAGAUGGCUGAAAAUAUGAUAUAUUUGCACAGGCUUUGGAAGACUGAAUGUAUGUAGUCAAACAAAUAAGCUCAUUUGGGUUGGUUGAAAUGAUUUAACAGUCUUGAUACAGCCGCAAUGGAUACAUUUGGUGUCUUGAGCAUUUUACAUUUGAAUGAGUUGGGAUGUAGUCGCAGCAAACUGAUUUCAAAAGUGAAGGGCCUGCCCUUGCUUUAAUUUGACAUUUCUUCAAUUCUAACCGUUUUAAUCUCAUAUCAUUUGCAAGUGAUAGCUUAAAUGUCACUUCACUAUAGGUUUUGUGCUAAAAGUUAAUAUGGUAAAGAGGAGUUGCUCAAUUAGUUUAUAUUUUGUAUACGUGUUAUUUUUUGUUAAAUGAAAACACUAUAUGCUAUCUGCAGCCAGUCGCAGCUUGGAUUUAUAUGUUCAAAGGUCUACCAGUUGCAAUGUAGCUCUUAAUAUUCUUGAUAAAUAUGUAAUUUAGACUGUUUUUGUUCCUCAGGUCCCUUGAUGACCAGGUCAGACAUGUGGCCCAGUGGAGGCUGCAGUGCUGUUCUCAAGGAGAGACCUUGGUUUGGACUUGGCUGAGGUCCUUGACGCAGGGAAAUCAAGCAGAAGUCCACUGAUGGCCCAGGUGAGUGAACUACUUCUGGGCUCUUGUUCCUGAGUAAAGCACUGCAGUAUCUGCAGACAGUUGCUUCUCCAACUGGUCUGUUCAAAAGUCGGUGCGAGAAGAACGCAGUAUUGGCAUCGUUGGUCUCCUUGCUGCCAGUGCUUGGAGUCCUGGUAAACUUGCUGCAACACUAACUAUGUAGGCAACAAAUCUAAUAGCUUCUAUAAAUGAUACGAACGGCUAAAAAUAUGAUUUUCAGCCCUACAUAGUUUAUGCCUGGCCUAUGAACUUUUGGGAGCAUAUUUAAUUGAUCUUAGAAUUUUUACCUUGAAGUUUAAAUGUUGUGCAAUUUUAAACUGGAAUAAUUCCCACCACUCUCAAAUGUAUGACUAGCACGCUGUAUUUAGCAGUGGGUCUGCCUAGCCUUCGAUGACUUGGGCAUGUGCGUUGAGUGCACGGCAGAGGCAUGCAUGUAGUUGUCCAAUAAAAUAAUCGAUGCAGAGUGAAAUAAUUACAGGUUUAUAGCCAGAUACUUUACUACUGAUACUACUGUGUUGGGCUGUAGUCUUGGCAAUGUGACUGAUCUGCUUCUUCUGGACCAACAGGCACGGCUAUGGGUUCACCCUCGUCUAUGGAAGGAACACGUGCUGGUGGCCGCCCUUCAGGUGGUGUCCAGACUGACGUACAACAUGUGGAUCGUGGCUGCACCGUCAUACCAGUUCUAGAUGUAGGUAUGAGAUGGUAUUCUGAUGCCUGAACGCCGGACCAUUUUUCAAAGAGGGCCAGUGACUAUCCCAAGUCUGUUCCUUACGCAAUGGUCCCAAAGCAAUUGCUCUCUGCUGAUGGUUGUACAUUGGCUUUAUAUAGCUUAUUUCUCAUCUUCAGGAGCAACAAUAUUUGCAGUUAAAGUGACUAAAAUCUAUACCCUUCAUGGCUUUGUAUGUGUUCUUAAUGUUCUUAUCUUCACAUGUUGCAGCUUUCGUUGAUGCUUGAUGAGCAGACCAAGAAACGAGAAAUCGACUUCUCUACAAAAUUUCCUGUCAUGUCUGUCAGUUUCAAUAAAAUGAAAUGGUACC